rnacentral:rRNA from 1 species
GGGUCAGGAGGUUGGUCGUGCCACCGGUACGUACUGGUCUCACUGAUUCCUCCUUCCUGAAGAACCGUAAUGCCAUUAAUUUGGUGUUGCGGGGAAACAGGACUGUUACUUUGAAAAAAUUAGAGUGUUUAAAGCAAGCUAACGCUUGAAUACAUUAGCAUGGAAUAAUGAAAUAGGACGAUCGAUCCUGUUUUGUUGGUUUCUAGGAUUGACGUA